UUAAAAAGGAUGAAAGGAGGCAAGGCGAUGGGCCCUGAUUGUAUCCCCAUUGAGGUGUGGAAAGGUCUCGGGGACAUAGCGAUAGUAUGGCUAACCAAGAUUUUCAACCUCAUUUUUCGGGCAAACAAGAUGCCAGAAGAAUGGAGACGGAGUAUAUUAGUACCAAUCUUCAAGAACAAGGGGGAUGUUCAGAGUUGUACUAAUUACCGUGGAAUUAAGCUGAUGAGCCAUACAAUGAAGCUAUGGGAGAGAGUCAUUGAGCACCGCUUAAGAAGAAUGACAAGCGUGACCAAAAAUCAGUUUGGUUUCAUGCCUGGGAGGUCGACCAUGGAAGCCAUUUUCUUGGUACGACAACUUAUGGAGAGAUAUAGGGAGCAUAAGAAGGACUUGCAUAUGGUGUUCAUUGACUUGGAGAAGGCCUAUGAUAAGAUACCGCGGAAUGUCAUGUGGUGGGCCUUGGAGAAACACAAAGUCCCAGCAAAGUAUAUUACCCUCAUCAAGGACAUGUACAAUAAUGUUGUGACAAGUGUUCGAACAAGUGAUGUCGACACCAAUGACUUCCCGAUUAAGAUAGGACUGCAUCAGGGGUCAGCUUUGAGCCCUUAUCUUUUUGCAUUGGUGAUGGAUGAGGUCACAAGGGGUAUACAAGGAGAUAUACCAUGGUGUAUGCUCUUUGCGGAUGAUGUGGUACUAGUUGACGAUAGUCGGAUGGGGGUAAAUAGGAAGUUAGAGUUAUGGAGACAAACCUUGGAAUCGAAAGGGUUUAGGCUUAGUAGAACUAAAACCGAGUACAUGAUGUGCGGUUUCAGUACUACUAGCUGUGAGGAGGAGGAGGUUAGCCUUGAUGGCCAGGUGGUACCUCGGAAGGACACCUUU
rnacentral:rRNA from 1 species